rnacentral:rRNA from 1 species
GAUUAGCCAUGCUAGUCACACGAGUUCACCACUCGUGGCGAAUAGCUCAGUAACACGUGGACAAACUACCCUUCGGAACACAAUACCCUCGGGAAACUGAGGCUAAUAGUGUAUACCAUACCACCACUGGAAUGAGUGGUAUGCCAAACGCUCCGGCGCCGAAGGAUGUGGUUGCGGCCGAUUAGGUAGACGGUGGGGUAACGGCCCACCGUGCCAAUAAUCGGUAUGGGUCAUGAGAGUGAGAACCCAGAGACGGAAUCUGAGACAAGAUUCCGGGCCCUACGGGGCGCAGCAGGCGCGAAACCUUUACACUGCACGACAGUGCGAUAGGGGGAUCCCAAGUGCACAGGCAUAGCGCCUGUGCUUUUCGGUACCCUAAGGCGGUACCAGAAUAAGGGCUGGGUUAGACCGGUGCCAGCCGCCGCGGUAAUACCGGCAGCCCAAGUGAUGGCCGAUCUUAUUGGGCCUAAAGCGUCCGUAGCUGGCCGCGCAAGUCCAUCGGGAAAUCCACCUGCUCAACAGGUGGGCGCCCGGUAGAAACUGCGUGGCUUGGGACCGGAAGGCGCGACGGGUACGUCCGGGGUAGGAGUGAAAUCCCGUAAUCCUGGACGGACCGCC